UACGUAGGGGGCAAGCGUUUGUCCGGAAUUAUUGGGCGUAAAGAGCUCGUAGGCGGUGUGUCGCGUCGGCCGUGAAAACCUGCAGCUUAACUGUGGGCUUGCGGUCGAUACGGGCAUCACUGGAGUUCGGCAGGGGAGACUGGAAUUCCUGGUGUAGCGGUGAAAUGCGCAGAUAUCAGGAGGAACACCGGUGGCGAAGGCGGAUCUCUGGGCCUGUUCUGACGCUGAGGCGCGAAAGCUAGGGGAGCGAACAGG
rnacentral:rRNA from 1 species